AGAGUUUGAUCCUGGCUCAGGAUCAACGCUGGCGGCGUGCCUAAUGCAUGCAAGUCGAACGGGGCGUCUUUCGGGGCGCCGCCGUGGCGGACGGGUGAGGAACACGUGGGGAACCUGCCUGCUGGUGGGGGGUAGCCCGCGGAAACGCGGGGUAAUUCCGCAUACGCCCGAUGGGGGGCAGCCCGAUCGGGGAAAGGCGCAAGUCGCCGGCAGAGGGUCCUGCGGCCGAUUAGCUAGACGGCGGGGUGACGGCCCACCGUGGCGAUGAUCGGUAGCUGGUCUGAGAGGACGGCCAGCCACACGGGGACUGAGACACGGCCCCGACUCCUACGGGAGGCAGCAGCAAGGAAUUUUCCGCAAUGGGCGCAAGCCUGACGGAGCAACGCCGCGUGGGGGAGGACGCCCUUCGGGGUGUAAACCUCUUUUCUUGGGGACGACGAGCGACGGUACCCGAGGAAGAAGGACCGGCGAACUACGUGCCAGCAGCCGCGGUAAUAC
rnacentral:rRNA from 1 species